UAAUCUACAAUGAUUUAAUCAAUUCUCUUUGCAAGAAGAAUGAUGCGGAACAAGCUCUUUCUUUGAUGGAGGACAUGAAAAAAAAGGGGGUGAGACCUAAUACCCAAACAUUCAAUGCCCUGUUCAAAGGCCUUAGAGAGAACAAUUUAUUAAAGAAGGCAUUUCAAUUUAUGGAUCAAAUGGUUGAAGAGGACUGUAAUCCUGAUUAUAUAACGAUGGAGAUUCUUACCGAAUGGCUUCCUGGUGUUGGUGAAAUAGAGAGGUUGAGAAAGUUUGCUCAAGGAUAUCCGGUUUCGGAGCCUCAGCCCCAACAGAAGGAUGGGAUAGUCGCAUUGUAAGAUGUUCAGGGAGAAAGCAUAAAUAUUGAUUAUGAUCUUCAAGCCAUUUUACAGUGGACAGGUGCUAGUUUACCAUUUCAGCACCCACAUCAUGCCAAGGGCUCAAGGUGACCCUGAAUUCUGUAAGCAGUUUGGACAAGUUGGAGAUGUCUGUAACAAAGCUCUAGGGUAAUUAAGGCUAGCUAGUGGAACGUUUCUGGGCGCUGCCCAUAGCCCGUACAAAACUAAUCCUGCUGAACUGCUGAAGCAGCCAAGAAGAUAGACACAAGCAAUUCAAGGUAACUGGGAAUAACCCAACCUAAUUUAUCUUUUAGGGUAAUUAAGGCUCAUCUGAGUGAAAAACCAUCUGGUCAAAAAUUGGAUUUCGAAAUAAAGGGUGGCACUGCAAAAAUGUGAAAUAUGAUUGUCUUCAUAAUAGUCAGUGUUAUCUUAGAAUAGUUUGAUGUAGCAGAAUGCCUCCUUCCU